GACGAUGUGGCAUAGUGGUUUGAGCACUGGACAACAACUCUGGAGACUAGGGUUCGAUUCCCAGCUCAGCCA